rnacentral:tRNA from 1 species
AGGUCUAUAGCUCAGUUGGUUAGAGCGCCACCUUGACAUGGUGGAGGUCAGCAGUUCGAAUCUGCUUAGACCUACCA